rnacentral:tRNA from 1 species
AGCCCUGUAGUUUAACAGGUAAAACGCCGAGCUUAUACCUCGGGAAAGCGCCAGAUUAGCGCGUGAUGCGGGUUCGAAUCCCGCCGGGGCAACCA